AGGCCGCGCCUGCGCUGUAUGCCGUGUGGCCGCUACCUCGCAGGCUCUCCCGGUCCCUGCUGGCGCGGCAGUGCCGCGCGGUGGGUGAUGGGAGAGCGCGCCCAUUCCCACGCCGCGCCAAGUGCCACGGGAUCAGGUGGGGCCGCGUGUACAGGCGCGAGACGGUCGGGCCAAAGCUGCCCCUCAUGAUCCCCAGCGGACGGUGCCCGGCGGUCCCUCAGAUCCGGGAAAUCUGCACCCGGCUGUGGCGUAGACCGAGGGGCCGAUGCUGCUUCAGCCCGCCGUUACUGCCCUGGCGUCAGCCAGACACUGGGGUGCUGCUGGGCGUCGAGAGGGCUGCUGCGGGGCCGGGCUAAGCCUGGGGGGCUGCAGGUGUCGGGGUGGAUGUGGGCAUAGCGGGGCUGCUGGGCCUCGUGAGCGCCCUGGAACGGCGUGCCCGCGGAGUGCCUCUCAUCACUCAUUGCCAGUGCGGGGAACCUUGUUAGGGCCCGGUUCGACGUAGCUGCAGGCUGGGCGCCAGAGGCAGGGGGCAGGCAGUCCGAGAGGACCCUCUACCUGCAUACCUGGGGGCUGCAGGCAGGGCCUCUGGGCCUCCUUGUUGUGGAUAUAAUUGUGUGCUUCCCGACUCAGGCCGAGGCUGGACCCGGAGACGACAGCGAGGGCAGGCUACCAAGCCCUCCCCACAGGGCCGUGCCCAGCCCAAGCCUGCCGAGUCAGCACCCAGAUCCUGGGACAAGAUAGUGUAUGGUCUACUUGGUGAAAGUUCCAUGUGCAACUGAAAAGAAUAUGAAGUGUGAAACGUAUGUGAAGAAUGAUGGUGGGACUCUGGUAUAAUCAUCUUGGAAAAAGUAUUUGUCAUUCUUGUGUUAAACAUAUACCUACCUAUGACCUAGCCAUUUCACUCGUAGAUGUUCAUCCAAGAGAACUGAAAAUGUAUGUCUACACAGAAAGUUUUACAUUAACAUUCAUUGUAGCUUCAUUUGUAAUAGCCAAAAACAACCCACCAGUAGGUGAGUGGAUAAACAAAAUUGGCGUAUCUAUACAAUGGACCACCACUUACCAAAAAAAACAAAAAAGAAAAAAAAAACAGCUCCUGAUACUGGCUUUUUAGAUGUACCUCUUUGUAUUUUAGUGGUUGCUCUAGAAGUUUACAUUGUACAUCUUUAUUAUAACCUACUUACUGUAUAUCUUUAUUAUAACCUACUUACUACCUACACCUUAUAUGUACUACUUCCCAUUAAGUGUAAGAACCUUGCAUCUGUAUAAUUAAUUCCAUUGGCAACCAUGUUUUUGCUAUUGCUGUCAUAUGUUUUUCAUUAAUAUAAACCCAAAUAUACAUUGUUAUAAUUCUUAA